rnacentral:rRNA from 1 species
GGUCCCUGGAAAUAGCCCCACUUUAGGACCGUACCCUAAACCGACACAGGUGGACUGGUAGAGCAUACCAAGGCGCUUGAGAGAACGAUGUUGAAGGAACUCGGCAAAAUACCUCCGUAAGUUCGCGAGAAGGAGGCCCGGUUCCUAGGCAACUAGGGGCUGGGGGCACAAACCAGGGGGUGGCGACUGUUUACUAAAAACACAGGGCUCUGCGAAGUCGCAAGACGACGUAUAGGGUCUGACGCCUGCCCGGUGCCUGAAGGUUAAAAGGAGGGGUGAGAGCUCCGAAUUGAAGCCCAGGUAAACGGCGGCCGUAACUAUAACGGUCCUAAGGUAGCGAAAUUCCUUGUCGGGUAAGUUCCGACCUGCACGAAUGGCGUAACGACUUCCCCGCUGUCUCCAACAUCGACUCAGCGAAAUUGAAUUGCCUGUCAAGAUGCAGGCUUCCCGCGGUUAGACGGAAAGACCCCGUGCACCUUUACUACAGCUUCACACUGGCAUCAGGCACAACAUGUGCAGGAUAGGUGGUAGGCUUCGAAGCAGGGACGCCAGUUCCUGUGGAGCCUUCCUUGAGAUACCACCCUUGUUCUGCUUGAUGUCUAACCGCGGUCCGUUAUCCGGAUCCGGGACCCUGUGUGGCGGGUAGUUUGACUGGGGCGGUCGCCUCCUAAAGCGUAACGGAGGCGCGCGAAGGUUGGCUCAGAGCGGUCGGAAAUCGCUCGUUGAGUGCAAUGGCAGAAGCCAGCCUGACUGCAAGACUGACAAGUCGAGCAGAGUCGAAAGACGGCCAUAGUGAUCCGGUGGUCCCAAGUGGGAGGGCCAUCGCUCAACGGAUAAAAGGUACGCCGGGGAUAACAGGCUGAUACUGCCCAAGAGUCCAUAUCGACGGCAGUGUUUGGCACCUCGAUGUCGGCUCAUCUCAUCCUGGGGCUGGAGCAGGUCCCAAGGGUACGGCUGUUCGCCGUUUAAAGAGGUACGUGAGCUGGGUUUAGAACGUCGUGAGACAGUUCGGUCCCUAUCUGCCGUGGGUGUAGGAUACUUGAGAGGAGUUGCCCCUAGUACGAGAGGACCGGGGUGAACGAUCCACUGGUGGACCAGUUGUCGUGCCAACGGCAGUGCUGGGUAGCUAUGAUCGGACAGGAUAACCGCUGAAGGCAUCUAAGCGGGAAGCCCCCCUCAAAACAAGGUAUCCCUGAGGGCCGUGGAAGACCACCACGUCGAUAGGCCGGAGAUGUAAGCAUGGUAACAUGUUCAGUUGACCGGUACUAAUGGCCCGAUAGGCUUGAUUUG